UACGAAGGGGGCUAGCGUUGUUCGGAAUCACUGGGCGUAAAGAGCGUGUAGGCGGCCAGAUAGGUCCGUUGUGAAAACUCGAGGCUCAACCUCGAGACGCCGAUGGAAACCAUUUGGCUAGAGUCCGGAAGAGGAGAGUGGAAUUCCUGGUGUAGCGGUGAAAUGCGCAGAUAUCAGGAAGAACACCCGUGGCUAAGGCGGCUCUCUAGUACGGUACUGACGCUGAGACGCGAAAGCGUGGGGAGCGAACAGG
rnacentral:rRNA from 1 species